CGGGUGAGUAACGCGUGGGUGACCUGCCUCACACUGGGGGAUAACAGUUAGAAAUAGCUGCUAAUACCGCAUAAGCGCACGGUUCCGCAUGGAACAGUGUGAAAAACUCCGGUGGUGUGAGAUGGACCCGCGUCUGAUUAGCUAGUUGGUGGGGUAGCGGCCCACCAAGGCAACGAUCAGUAGCCGACCUGAGAGGGUGACCGGCCACAUUGGGACUGAGACACGGCCCAG
rnacentral:rRNA from 1 species